rnacentral:rRNA from 1 species
CAGUCGCCGCGGUAAUACGUAGGGGGCAAGCGUUGUCCGGAAUUAUUGGGCGUAAAGCGCGCGCAGGCGGUCAUGUAAGUCUGGUGUUUAAUCCCGGGGCUCAACCCCGGAUCGCACUGGAAACUGGGUGACUUGAGUGCAGAAGAGGAGAGUGGAAUUCCACGUGUAGCGGUGAAAUGCGUAGAGAUGUGGAGGAACACCAGUGGCGAAGGCGACUCUCUGGGCUGUAACUGACGCUGAGGCGCGAAAGCGUGGGGAGCAAACAGGAUUAGAUACCCGCGUAGUCCCUGUCUCUUAUACC